ACCGCUGUAGCCCAGUUGGUAGAGGCGUCGCCAUUACAGAUGAUGAAGGUCGCUGGUUCAAAUUCAGCCUACGGUG